UUGUACUAAUUUGAGUCGUGGCGCUUUUGUCUCCCAACGACAGUGUCCUGUCGAAGCUCUUCUCCUGUCAUAGGGGGUUCCUCUGAAGUCGGUGAUCCGAGAUCUCAGAAGGAAAGUUCGUCAGUUGACGAAGAAAUUCAAGAAGCUAAAAAAUAAACUUCAUCGGCUGAGGAAGAGCCAUUCGGAAGUCACUACAGAGGCUAUUCGCUUUCAAGACCUCCACAGAAAGGGUCUCAUGGAAUACACCCGGAGGAAGGCCGACUUCGUGAUGGAGCUUGAGAAAAUCUGAAAAUGUACCAGC
rnacentral:lncRNA from 1 species